rnacentral:rRNA from 1 species
GUUUGAUCCUGGCUCAGAGCGAACGUUAGCGGCAGGCUUAACACAUGCAAGUCGAGCGAGAAAGGGCUUCGGCUCCGAGUAAAGCGGCGGACGGGUGCGUAACACGUGGAUAAUCUGCCUCGUGGCGGGGGACAACAGUCCGAAAGGACUGCUAAUACCGCAUGUCAGGUCGGAAACUCCGGUUUCUGACGAAAAAGAGGGCGCCCGCAAGGGGCUCUCACCACGAGAUGAGUCCGCGUCCCAUCAGCUAGUUGGCGGUGUAAUAGACCACCAAGGCUUAGACGGGUAGCUGGUCUGAGAGGAUGACCAGCCACACUGGGACUGAGACACGGCCCAGACUCCUACGGGAGGCAGCAGUGGGGAAUAUUGGACAAUGGGCGAAAGCCUGAUCCAGCCAUGCCGCGUGAGUGAUGAAGGCC